UUUAAAGAGUGCGUAAUAGCUCACUAGUCGAGUGACCCUGCGCCGAAAAUGUACCGGGGCUAAACAUAUUACCGAAGCUGUGGAGUACACCUUUAGGUGUAUUGGUAGGAGAGCGUUCUAAGGGCGUCGAAGGCAGAUCGUGAGGACUGCUGGAGCGCUUAGAAGUGAGAAUGCCGGUAUGAGUAGCGAAAGACAGGUGAGAAUCCUGUCCACCGAAUGACUAAGGUUUCCUGGGGAAGGCUCGUCCGCCCAGGGUUAGUCGGGACCUAAGCCGAGGCCGAUAGGCGUAGGCGAUGGAUAACAGGUUGAUAUUCCUGUACCCGUUGUUUUUGUUUGAGCAAUGGAGGGACGCAGGAGGCUAAGGAAUGCAGACGAUCGGAAAUGUCUGUCCAAGCAGUAAGUCUGAAGAGGAGUCAAAUGCUUCUUUUCUUAAGGACAAGCUGUGAUGGGGAGGGAAAUAAUAGUACCGAAGUUCCUGAUGUCACACUGCCGAGAAAAGCUUCU
rnacentral:rRNA from 1 species